CAGCAGCCACGGUAAUACGUAGGGUGCGAGCGUCAAUCGGAAUUACUGGGCGUAAAGCGUGCGUAGGCGGUUCGUUAAGUCUGUUGUGAAAGCCCCGGGCUCAACCUGGGAAUGGCAAUGGAUACUGGCGAGCUAGAGUGUGUCAGAGGAUGGUGGAAUUCCCGGUGUAGCGGUGAAAUGCGUAGAGAUCGGGAGGAACAUCAGUGGCGAAGGCGGCCAUCUGGGACAACACUGACGCUGAGGCACGAAAGCGUGGGGAGCAAACAGGAUUAGAUACCCGCGUAGUCCCUGUCUCUUAUAC
rnacentral:rRNA from 1 species